rnacentral:rRNA from 1 species
UAGUCAUAUGCUUGUCUCAAAGAUUAACCCAUGCAUGUCUAAGUAUAAGCAAUCUAUACGGUGAAACUGCGAAUGGCUCAUUAAAUCAGUUAUCGUUUAUUUGAUAGUACCUUACUACUUGGAUAACCGUGGUAAUUCUAGAGCUAAUACAUGCUAAAAACCCCGACUUCGGAAGGGGUGUAUUUAUUAAAUAAAAAACCAAUGCCCUUCGGGGCUCCUUGGUGAUUCAUAAUAACUUAACGAAUCGCAGGGCCUUGUGCCGGCAAUGGUUCAUUCAAAUUUCUGCCCUAUCAACUUUCGAUUGUAAGGUAGUGGCUUACAAUGGUUUCAACGGGUAACGGGGAAUUAGGGUUCUAUUCCGGAAAGGGAGCCUGAAAAACGGCUACCACAUCCAAGGAAGGCAGCAGGCGCGCAAAUUACCCAAUCCCGACACGGGGAGGUAGUGACAAUAAAUACUGAUACAGGGCUCUUUUGGGUCUUGUAAUUGGAAUGAGUACAAUUUAAAUCCCCUAACGAGGAACAAUU